UGGGGAAUAUUGGACAAUGGGGGGAACCCUGAUCCAGCCAUGCCGCGUGUGUGAAGAAGGCCUUAUGGUUGUAAAGCACUUUAAGCGAGGAGGAGGGUACUGGUAUUAAUACUACCAGGUACUGGACGUUACUCGCAGAAUAAGCACCGGCUAACUCUGUGCCAGCAGCCGCGGUAAUACAGAGGGUGCGAGCGUUAAUCGGAUUUACUGGGCGUAAAGCGUGCGUAGGCGGCUAAUUGAGUCGGAUGUGAAAUCCCCGAGCUUAACUUGGGAAUUGCAUUCGAUACUGGUUAGCUAGAGUGUGGGAGAGGAUGGUAGAAUUCCAGGUGUAGCGGUGAAAUGCGUAGAGAUCUGGAGGAAUACCGAUGGCGAAGGCAGCCAUCUGGCCUAACACUGACGCUAAGGUACGAAAGCAUGGGGAGCAAACAGG
rnacentral:rRNA from 1 species